GACAGAGGUGCCGAGCGUUAGGCGGAAUCACUGGGCUUAAAGCGUGUGUAGGCGGAUCUGUAAGUACCUUGUGAAAUCCCACGGCUCAACCGUGGAACUGCUUGGUAUACUGCGGGUCUUGAGCCACCUAGGGGCAAGUGGAACAAACGGUGGAGCGGUGAAAUGCGUAGAUAUCGCUUGGAACGCCAAUGGUGAAAACAACUUGCUGGGGGUGUGCUGACGCUGAGACACGAAAGCCAGGGGAGCAAACGGG
rnacentral:rRNA from 1 species